AAACUUGAAAUCUGCGAAAAAAUAUCUAUAAUAUAUAGCGUCAGCUUGCUGACUAUGACACCAGAAGCCUUAUGAAAUAGGUACAUUGGACCCGGGGGCAGUACCCGGCACCUCCACCAAUUUUACGGGGGUGAACCAGGCUUGACAGUGUAUAGUAAAGAUAUGUGUUGUGUUCGGUGAGAUACCACCGUUAUCGGUUCAAAUUUAAAUGAAUGCAAAUGAUAAUUUUGCACCAGUUGCUGUAGCUGCUUAAGGUUAAGGCAACAAACUUAAAUUCUUCGGCCUUUGGUUAGGCCAAAGUGGGGACGGGGCCGCCCAGCAACAGAGAGGCCCUAAA
rnacentral:tmRNA from 1 species